rnacentral:rRNA from 1 species
AACGAACGCUGGCGGCAGGCUUAACACAUGCAUGUCGAGCGCCCCGCAAGGGGAGCGGCAGACGGGUGAGUAACGCGUGGGAGUCUACCCAUCUCUACGGAAUAACGCAUGGAAACGUGUGCUAAUACCGCAUACGUCCUUCGGGAGAAAGAUUUAUCGGAGAUGGAUGAGCCCGCGUUGGAUUAGCUAGUUGGUGGGGUAAAGGCCUACCAAGGCGACGAUCCAUAGCUGGUCUGAGAGGAUGAUCAGCCACACUGGGACUGAGACACGGCCCAGACUCCUACGGGAGGCAGCAGUGGGGAAUAUUGGACAAUGGGCGCAAGCCUGAUCCAGCCAUGCCGCGUGAGUGAUGAAGGCCCUAGGGUUGUAAAGCUCUUUCACCGGUGAAGAUAAUGACGGUAACCGGAGAAGAAGCCCCGGCUAACUUCGUGCCAGCCGCCGCGGUAAAAC